rfam:Callithrix jacchus chromosome 20, whole genome shotgun sequence
ACCUGCUUCCACAGUACAAACUAAAAUGGGAAGGAUACCGCGAUGAUCAGCAUGGCCCCUGUACUACAAUGACAUGAAUUUGUGAGGCAUUUCGCGUUGUU